rnacentral:rRNA from 1 species
GACGAAGGUGGCGAGCGUUGUUCGGAAUCACUGGGCUUAAAGAGCACGUAGGCGGGCCGCUUUGCGUCCUGUGAAAUCCCCCGGCUCAACCGGGGAAUGGCAGGGCGAACGGGCGGUCUUGAGGCAGGUAGAGGUGUGGGGAACUCUUGGUGGAGCGGUGGAAUGCGUAGAUAUCAAGAGGAACGCCGGAGACGAAGGUGCCGCACUGGGCCUGUCCUGACGCUGAGGUGCGAAAGCCAGGGGAG